UGGAAAAUGGGCAUCCGAUGUCCCCUUUAAAGCAUCACUUAAAACACUAAUAAUUCAAUGAUGUUGUUGAAUAUAUUAUUCACAUCUGAAAACAUCCAUUUCACCUACUCUGUGUUGUGAUGCAUAAAUUAAUCUGUAGCGUGUAUCCCUUGUGCUAUGCUAAAAAUUAUUUACUUAAUUUGUUGUUCCCGAUCAAAAAUUAGCGGUCUUUUAAAAACUGCUUGUAAAUCUUUCAUUAUGCUAUAUUAUCACCAAUUCUUGGAUUCAUCAUUCAUAUGGUAUAUU